rnacentral:tRNA from 1 species
CAACAUGUAGCUUAAUUAAAGCAUCUCGCUUACACCGAGAUAAUAUCUGUGAGACCCAGAUCAUUUUGA